GGAUGAACGCUAGCGGCAGGCUUAACACAUGCAAGUCGAACGGUAAGGUCUUGCUUGCAGGAUACACGAGUGGCGCACGGGUGAGUAACGCGUAUACAAUCUACCUUUAACUGGGGUAUAGCCCAAAGAAAUUUGGAAUAAUCCCCCAUAAUAUUUCGAAAUGGCAUCGUUUUGAUCUUAAAGCUCCGGCGGUUAAAGAUGAGUAUGCGUCCCAUUAGUUUGUUGGUAAGGUAACGUCUUACCAAGACUGCGAUGGGUAGGGGGCCUGAGAGGGUGACCCCCCACACUGGUACUGAGACACGGACCAGACUCCUACGGGAGGCAGCAGUGAGGAAUAUUGGUCAAUGGGCGAAAGCCUGAACCAGCCAUGCCGCGUGAAGGAUGACGGCCCUACGGGUUGUAAACUUCUUUUAUUCAGGAAGAAACCUUCGGACGUGUCCGAAGUUGACGGUACUGUUUGAAUAAGGAUCGGCUAACUCCGUGCCAGCAGCCGCGGUAAUACGGAGGAUCCAAGCGUUAUCCGGAUUUACUGGGUUUAAAGGGUGCGUAGGCGGGAUAAUAAGUCAGUGGUGAAAUCCUACAGCUUAACUGUAGAACUGCCAUUGAUACUGUUAUUCUUGAGUACAGCUUAAGUAGGCGGAAUGUGUCAUGUAGCGGUGAAAUGCAUAGAUAUGACACAGAACACCGAUAGCGAAGGCAGCUUACUGAACUGUUACUGACGCUGAGGCACGAAAGCGUGGGGAGCGAACAGGAUUAGAUACCCUGGUAGUCCACGCCGUAAACGAUGAUUACUCGAUGUAUGCAUUUAAUGUAUGCGUCCUAGUUAACGCGUUAAGUAAUCCACCUGGGGAGUACGAUCGCAAGGUUGAAACUCAAAGGAAUUGACGGGGGCCCGCACAAGCGGAGGAGCAUGUGGUUUUAUUCGAUGAUACGCGAGGAACCUUACCUGGGCUUAAAUGCUGAAUGAUUUUUUGGGAAACCAAAUUUUCCUUCGGGACAGUUAGCAAGGUGCUGCAUGGCUGUCGUCAGCUCGUGCCGUGAGGUGUUUGGUUAAGUCCAAUAACGAGCGCAACCCCUAUCAUUAGUUGCCAGCGGAUAAUGCCGGGGACUCUAGUGAAACUGCCUGCGCAAGCUGUGAGGAAGGUGGGGAUGACGUCAAGUCAGCACGGCCCUUAUGUCCAGGGCUACACACGUGCUACAAUGGCCAGCACAAAGGGUUGCUACCUGGUGACAGGAUGCUAAUCUCAAAAUCUGGUCUCAGUUCGGAUUGAAGUCUGCAAUUCGACUUCAUGAAGUUGGAUUCGCUAGUAAUCGUAUAUCAGCAAUGAUACGGUGAAUACGUUCCCGGGCCUUGUACACACCGCCCGUCAAGCCAUGGAAGUUAGGGGUACCUAAAGUCGGUCACCGCAAGGAGCCGCCUAGGGUAAAACUAGUAACUGGGGCUAAGUCGUAACAAGGUA
rnacentral:rRNA from 1 species